UUGGGCUGGGUUUUCCACAGCGCAUGCGCAGUUUAGAAUUUACCCACAUCACCGUUUCUAUCUCUAUGGUUACCACAGGGAUGGAACAGCAGAAAAGAAAAGCUUGAUUUGACAUUCUCACUUCCAGAGACUGCUGCAGUUCCUCCUCCACCUGAUAUUCUUGUAAUCUCUACAGAGCUGUUGGAGAGUGAAGCAGCACAGAGCUGACCAUUUAAAGACUCCUCCUGACCAGACCACACCUCUGUCCCUGAGUCCAUGGAAGCCAAGGCCAAGUCUGGGGCUCCAGCACCCAAGGCAGCAUCUAAAGCAGAGAAGAAGGAGCCGACCGCCCCACGCAAGGCUGAACCUGCCCCUGCAGCCCCUGCAGCCCCUGCAGCCCCUGCAGCCCCUGCAGCCCCUGAGCCCGAGCAACCUCCUCCCCAGGAUGGGGCAGCAGAAGCUGAAGCAGCAGGUGAAGAGGCUGCGGCCUCCGGCACAGACUCUCUGGAACACCUGAAACCCUUUUUCAUUGGUGGUGCUGUUAUUGCUGUAGGAGCCAUCUUUCUGGGAGUAUUGCUACUGGCGAGGAGAAAUUAAAACCAAAAUCAUUAUCUCAUAUUAAAGUAUGUAUUGGUGAUGAGUUAGAGAGUUGUUACUGAGUGGUUCACAGACUAUUAUAGUAGAGAUGGGGGAUGGGGCCACUGUGCAUCUUAUGUUUUGUUAUGUUGGCCUGCUUUCACUUGUAGUGAAUCAACCCAUUCACGUUUUGAUAAAGGCUGUAUAUGGAGCGUAAUUACACAUAAUAUAUGCAUGAAGUUGCUUCAAUACUGCAUCAGAACUGUAAUAAUCAAUUUCUUUAAAAACAAAAACUCACACUGUAGUACUGAGCUAAAAAGGUUAAAGUCUACUUAAGGUAGCUUAUUCAACUGCUUUAUCCUGUUUAAUCCACUUUGCACAAAUAUUGACAUAAACUUGCAAUACUUGUACAUUCUUGCUCCGAAAAUAAGCUUGGUUCACUUUGCUAAAAGAUAAUAAUGUAUUCAUAAUGUUGAAACUUAUAGAUAGCAAUACAUGGCUAUCAGAGUUGUUCAGGUUUUAUUUUACAUUUUAAAUAAGAAAAUUGAAAGAGAAACAGAUGGAAAUAUGCACUGUGAUGUAUUGUACAUAUGUUGGCAAAAUCAAGGCCUAAGUUAAGGGAUUUGGUUUCGAGACACUGUAUCCCUGCAUAUCUAAAAAACGUCAAAUAGAGAAUGGCAAAUAUAAAAAUAUAAGCAUGCAGCGGUUUAGGGAAUGGGAUGUUGGGGAUUGUAGGAGAUAAAACAUGUACAGUAUGUGUCGGCGAAUAAUAGUGAAGUUACCUCUUGCUGUAGAAUAAGAACGUUUCAUUUUACUGUCAAAUUAUGUCAACAAAUCAAUAACCUUUCAUGUCUCGCACACCAUCCACAGUCGUGCUGGUUAAAUCUUUUAACAUCUUACAGUAGAUACUUAGCUAUAGCAUGCUGAACAGCCAUUAGUGUUACAUUAUCAGGAUGAAAGCCUGCUACCAAAACAUGAGAGUUGUUUAUGUCUUCAUUGUGCUCCCCUUAUGUGGCUUCAGGAAAAAAUUAAAAUCCUCAUUCCUAACUACGUACAACUAAAUUGUAAUGACAGCAGCCAGUUGCUAAUACAAUGAAAGUUGGGCUGUAGAAAAGAAAAAAGUCAAGCAUUCACAGCAGCAAACACUCACUGUACAAAAUUGUGUCCACUCGUAUAUAAAGCUCAUGGGGAUGUCCCUGUUGUAUAAUUAGAUAGCAGAAAGACAGUUCUGAUACUGAUACACACCAUUAUUUGAUUUUAGUUGUAAGAGUAGGCUACCUAUGAAUUUUACAACACAUUACUGGCCAAAAAAAAUUGUAUAGACAUACCUCAUUCACCACAGUCAACACCCCCAAACGAUGGUAUGUCAACACCAAAACAAACUUCACCUUACAUUGUACAAAACAGUGUACCAAAAAAAAUAAAGAAAUCCUAUUUUCAUAAUUUCAACAGCGUAUAAAUGCAAUAAUUCAGAUAGGACUCCUCAUUUAGCACAUGUGCUGUAGCAAGUUAAAUUACAAUAAUGAUGAUGUAAUAAUAUUGUUGGUAAUGAUGAUGGCAAUGAGGGUGAUGUUACAGAUGAUAGUGAUGAAGGCAAUGAUGAUGUUUUUCAUGGUGACUGUAAUGAUAACGAUGGUUAGGAUAUAUUUUUUUAUAUAUUUCUAAUGUAUUUUCCUUAUGCACACUCCCUUCUGCCCCCAAACUCCUAAAUGUAAAAAAGAAAGAGUUCGUCAUCCAAACUUUAUUAAAGACAGUGAACCAGC